rnacentral:lncRNA from 1 species
GCCAUUUAAGUCACCGCGGAGGAAGAGUAAAAAAAAAGCGUUUGUUUUAUGAUACAGCUGGUACCGGAUGCGCCUCAGAGGUAUCUUUUAACCUUAAAAGACGGGCUGUUUUGCUGCAUAGCUGGAGCCCCAUAGAGGCUAUUACAAACGGGGCCACUCUCUAUUCACCGAGAGAGGGGAGAGCAGCGCUGGUGGAAGAGGCGGGAGGGGGGGAGGGGGGGGGGGGGGGGGUGCUGAGGAGGAGGGCGAGGGAUGAAGGGAGGAAGGAGGGAGUGUGGGAGAGGAGAAACGUGUAAUCACCCAAACAACCAUUUUUACCCAUUUCACCCCCUCUGGAUCUGUGGCGCAAGUGCGCCGCCGGCUUAUGCGCGCCUCCGCUGCGGAUACGCCGACGUGAGGCCGGACCCCGCGGAAGACGCCGAGAGGGAGAAGAGACGGAGGCCGGAGCGGGACUCAACACACAACAUGUUUGUUACAUAUGUCGGCGGCGCUGCUUUAUUUGAAGAUGAAGACGGAAGUGAGGUUCGGCUCGAGACGAGCGCUCCCGCUCGCAACCGCCGGGACCUCGCUCCGUCAAAGCAAGAUCACAUCUCUUGCACAGGCUCAGAUUACUGGGUGCCUCGCGUGGCGGCCACGUCCGGAGCACAAGCCUGUCACCGGCUCAGUGGGGGCAAUAAUUGCUAUGAAAUGACGUUAUGGACAGCUGGAAGGUAAAUGAGGAUUCCUGUUUUACACUUAGUCGGAUUUCUCCUCACUCCCACCUUUUUUCUGCUCUCACACCACAGCUCUUUUUUUAUGAAUUUAUUGUCACAGAGAUUUUGCUUUCCGAUUCCAGAGAAUGAAGAAGCCAGUAUAUAUAUAUAUUUCUAUUCUGACCCAGGAGACAGAGAGAGGUGAUAGUCAACACAUCGCACACACUUUUACAUCACACAGUCAUUUUAAUUGUUUACCUUCUAUUUCUUCAUUUUGUAUUACAAUUUUUCUCAGUCGCCUUAGUACAAUUCUCAGAUCAGAAUUGAAGUUUGCAAACGUGUGUGCAUUUCUCAAAAGAAUUUGUACAAACAGCAAAACAC